UCACGUCAUCCACAUGUCAAGCCCAGGUAAGGUUCUUCGCGUUGCGACGAAUUAAACCACAUGCUCCGCUGCUUGUGCGGGCCCCCGUCAAUUCCUUUGAGUUUUAGCCUUGCGGCCGUACUCCCCAGGCGGGGCACUUAAUGCGUUAGCUUCGGCACGGAGGGAGUCGACACCUCCCACACCUAGCACCCAUCGUUUACGGCGUGGACUAC
rnacentral:misc_RNA from 1 species